GGGGAUGUAGCUCAUCUGGUAGAGCGCGCGCUUCGCAUACACUCGAUUGAGCGAUCGAUCAGUGACAACCUGUCUGCGCGAGGUACAGGGUUCGAUUCCCUGCUUCUCCA